rnacentral:lncRNA from 1 species
AUACACUUAUUUAAUUUGAGCUGAUAUCGAAACAGUCAUGUGUUCAUGCGUAAAACUAUAAGCCACCGUUUGGUUGGGGUUAAGUGGUGGAAUAACUCCUUAACCCCCAAUUUAUAUUCAAACACCACUAUUUUGGAGUGGGGUUAGUAAACCCCACCCCAAACCGGAUUAGUGGGGUUUACUAACUCCACUCCCCCUCCCAACUUUAACCCCGCACGCAUCCCGAGUCCUCAUCUUUUUCUUCUUUAUCAAUCAUUAACCCCACUCCCCCUCCCAACUUUAACCCCGCACGCAUCCCGAGCUCUGACCUUUUUCUUCUUUAUCAAUCAUUAUCUUCUUAUCCCACUUACUCCAACCAAACACUUUUUUUCACUAUCCUAGACUUACUCCAACCUCCAACCAAACACAAAAAAAUUUUAACACCAUUUUAACCCUGAACUUAAUUCUAUUCCUGGAAUAACUAUUUUUUCUUAACCCGAACCAAACGGGGGCUAAUAGUUCUCUAAACAAUCAGUCA